UGAGAGGAAGGUCCCCCACAUUGGAACUGACACUCGGCCCAUACUCCUACGGGAGGCACCAGAGAGGAAUAUUGAUCAAUGGGCGCUAGCCUGAACCAACCAAGUAGCGUGAAGGAUGAAGGCUCUAUGGGUCGCAAACUUCUUUUAUAUAAAAAUAAAGUGCACACAUGUAUACUGUUUUGUAUGUAUUAUAUGAAUAAGGAUCGGCUAACUCCGUGCCAACACCCGCGGAAAUACGGACGAUCCGAGCGUUAUCCGGAUUUAUGGGCUUCAAAGGGAGCGUAGGUGGACUGGUAAGUCAGAUGUGAAAGUUUGCGGCUCAACCGUACAAUUGCAGUUGAUACUGUCAGUCUUGAGUACAGUAGAGGUGGGCGGAAUUAGUGGUGUAGCGGUGAAAUGCUUAGAUAUCACGAAGAACUCCGAUUGCGAAGGCAGCUCACUGGACUGCAACUGACACUGAUGCUCGAAAGUGUGGGUAUCAAACAGGAUUAGAUACCUUGGUAGUCCACACAGUAAACGAUGAAUACUCGCUGUUUGCGAUAUACAGUAAGCGGCCAAGCGAAAGCAUUAAGUAUUCCACCUGGGGAGUACGCCGGCAACGGUGAAACUCAAAGGAAUUGACGGGGGUCCGCACAAGCGGAGGAACAUGUGGUUUAAUUCGAUGAUACGCGAGGAACCUUACCCGGGCUUAAAUUGCAGUGGAAUGAUGUGGAAACAUGUCAGUGAGCAAUCACCGCUGUGAAGGUGUUGCAUGGUUGUCGUCAGCUCGUACCGUGAGGUGUAGGGUUAAGUGCCAUAACGAGCGCAACCCUUAUCUUUAGUUACUAACAGGUUAUGAUGAGGACUCUAGAGAGACUGCCGUAGUAAGAUGUGAGGAAGGUGGGGAUGACGUCAAAUCAGCACGGUCUUUACGUCCGGGGCUACACACGUGUUACAAUGGGGGGUACAGAAGGCAGCUAGCGGGUGACCGUAUGCUAAUCCCAAAAUCCUCUCUCAGUUCGGAUAGAAGUCUGCAACCCGAUUUCGUGAAGCUGGAUUCGCUAGUAAUCGAGCAUCAUCCACGGCGCGGUGAAUACGUUCCCGGGCCUUGUUCACACCGCCCGUCAAGCCAUGGGAGCCGGGGGUACCUGAAGUACGUAACCGCAAGGAUCGUCCUAGGGU
rnacentral:rRNA from 1 species